AUUGAACGCUGGCGGCGUGCCUAAUACAUGCAAGUCGAACGCAGUUGCGAACGGGUGAGUAACGCGUAGGUAACUGCCUCUUAGCGGGGGUUAACUCUUGGAAACGUUAGCUAUUACCGCAUACUUUGCGAUGUACCUGCGUUGUGUUAGCUAGUUGGUGAGGUAAAGGCUCACCAAGGCGACGCUACAUAGCCGACCUGAGAGGGUGAUCGGCCAAAAUGGGACUGGGACACGGCCCAGACUCCUACCGGAGGGAGCAGGUGGGGAACUUCGGCAAUGGACGGAAAUCUGACCGAGCAAAGCCGGGGGAGUGAAGGAGGGUUUCGGGUCGUAAAGCUAUGUUGUUAGGGAAGCGGUAACUAAAGAGAAAGGGACGGCUAACUACGUGCCAGCAGCCGCGGUAAUUC
rnacentral:rRNA from 1 species